rnacentral:lncRNA from 1 species
AAAUAUUGUGAAACAAAAGACAAGUUGGAGCCAGGAUCAAAUAAAACUUUUGCAUUUCUAUUAGAAACAUGUAGAAUACCUUCAACCACUGAUUUAGAGGCUCUGGAAUCUUGUUCUGUGAUAGCAUAUACUCUAGCAUGGGCUGUCGGCUUAGGGAGUAGUAGCUCUUUCUUCUUGUUUAGUGGGCAGUCUCUGACUUUAUGAUCUAACUUUCCACAGGCAAAACAGGCUCCAGUCACCCGAAAACACUCACUUGUUUCAUGAUUACGUCCA